rnacentral:tRNA from 3 species
GAGCCAUUAGCUCAGUCGGUAGAGCACCUGACUUUUAAUCAGGGUGUCGGAGGUUCGAUUCCUCCAUGGCUCACCA